CUACGGAGGGUCCAAGCGUUAUCCGGAUUCAUUGGGUUUAAAGGGUCCGCAGGCGGGAAAAUAAGUCAGUGGUGAAAGCCUACAGCUCAACUGUAGAACUGCCAUUGAUACUGUUUUUCUUGAGUAUAGAUGAAGUGGGCGGAAUAUAUCAUGUAGCGGUGAAAUGCAUAGAUAUGAUAUAGAACACCGAUUGCGAAGGCAGCUCACUAAACUAUUACUGACGCUCAGGGACGAAAGCGUGGGGAGCGAACAGGAUUAGAUACCCUAGUAGUCC
rnacentral:rRNA from 1 species